GGGCCGGUAGCUCAAUGGUCAGAGCCGCGAACUCAUAAUUCGUCCGAUGCGGGUUCGAGUCCCGCCCGGCCCA
rnacentral:tRNA from 3 species